GACGUAGGGUGCAAGCGUUGUCCGGAAUUAUUGGGCGUAAAGAGCUCGUAGGCGGUCUGUCGAGUCUGCUGUGAAAAUCCAGGGCUCAACCCUGGACCUGCAGUGGGUACGGGCAGACUAGAGUGCGGUAGGGGAGAUCGGAAUUCCUGGUGUAGCGGUGAAAUGCGCAGAUAUCAGGAGGAACACCGGUGGCGAAGGCGGAUCUCUGGGCCGUAACUGACGCUGAGGAGCGAAAGCAUGGGGAGCGAACAGG
rnacentral:rRNA from 1 species